rnacentral:rRNA from 1 species
GUACACUCCUGCGGGAGGCAGCAGUGGGGAAUUUUGGACAAUGGGCGAAAGCCUGAUCCAGCAAUGCCGCGUGUGUGAAGAAGGCCUUCGGGUUGUAAAGCACUUUUGUCCGGAAAGAAAUCCUUGGCUCUAAUACAGUCGGGGGAUGACGGUACCGGAAGAAUAAGCACCGGCUAACUACGUGCCAGCAGCCGCGGUAAUACGUAGGGUGCGAGCGUUAAUCGGAAUUACUGGGCGUAAAGCGUGCGCAGGCGGUUUGCUAAGACCGAUGUGAAAUCCCCGGGCUCAACCUGGGAACUGCAUUGGUGACUGGCAGGCUAGAGUAUGGCAGAGGGGGGUAGAAUUCCACGUGUAGCAGUGAAAUGCGUAGAGAUGUGGAGGAAUACCGAUGGCGAAGGCAGCCCCCUGGGCCAAUACUGACGCUCAUGCACGAAAGCGUGGGGAGCAAACAGGAUUAGAUACCCGGGUAGUCCC